rnacentral:hammerhead_ribozyme from 1 species
UUCCAGCUGACGAGUUGCGAAUGGGACGAUACGCGCGUCCUGGAU